rnacentral:rRNA from 1 species
AGAACGAACGCUGGCGGCGUGGAUAAGACAUGCAAGUCGAGCGGAGUAGUUCGAAUAGCAAUAUUUGGAUUACUUAGUGGCGGACGGGUGAGUAACACGUGGGCAACCUACCCGGAAGAGGGGGAUAGCUCGCCGAAAGGCGAAUUAAUACCGCAUGUGGCCUGGAAAGACAUCUUUCCUCAGCCAGAGCUGGAGCAAUCUAGCACUUCCGGAUGGGCCCGCGGCCUAUCAGCUUGUUGGUGAGGUAACGGCUCACCAAGGCUAUGACGGGUAGCUGGUCUGAGAGGACGACCAGUCACACUGGAACUGAGACACGGUCCAGACACCUACGGGUGCAGCAGUCGAGAAUCAUUCGACAAGUGGGCGAAAGCCUGACGGUGCGACG